rnacentral:rRNA from 1 species
UAGAGUUUGAUCCUGGCUCAGGAUGAACGCUAGCGGCAGGCCUAACACAUGCAAGUCGAGGGGUAACAUGGAAAAGCUUGCUUUUUUGAUGACGACCGGCGCACGGGUGCGGAACGCGUAUGGAACCUGCCCCUGUCAGGGGAAUAGCCCAGGGAAACUUGGAUUAAUGCCCCAUGGUAUCACGGGAUCGCAUGAUUUUGUGAUUAAAGAUUUAUCGGACAGGGAUGGCCAUGCGUACCAUUAGUUAGUUGGUGAGGUAACGGCUUACCAAGGCAGCGAUGGUUAGGGGCCCUGAGAGGGGGAUCCCCCACACUGGUACUGAGACACGGACCAGACUCCUACGGGAGGCAGCAGUGAGGAAUAUUGGACAAUGGGCGGGAGCCUGAUCCAGCCAUGCCGCGUGCAGGAUGACGGCCCUAUGGGUUGUAAACUGCUUUUAUACGGGAAGAAACGCGCCCACGUGUGGGCGUCUGACGGUACCGUAAGAAUAAGGACCGGCUAACUCCGUGCCAGCAGCCGCGGUAAUACGGAGGGUCCGAGCGUUAUCCGGAAUCAUUGGGUUUAAAGGGUCCGUAGGCGGGCCUGUAAGUCAGGGGUGAAAGUUUGUGGCUCAACCAUAAAAUUGCCUUUGAUACUGCAGGUCUUGAGUCAUGGUGGGGUCGCCGGAACAUGUGGUGUAGCGGUGAAAUGCAUAGAUAUCACAUAGAACACCGAUCGCGAAGGCAGGUGGCCAACCAUGUACUGACGCUGAUGGACGAAAGCGUGGGUAGCGAACGGGAUUAGAUACCCCGGUAGUCCACGCCGUAAACGAUGGAUACUAGCUGUGGGGACUUCGGUCUCCGUGGCCAAGCGAAAGUGAUAAGUAUCCCACCUGGGGAGUACGUUCGCAAGAAUGAAACUCAAAGGAAUUGACGGGGGCCCGCACAAGCGGUGGAGCAUGUGGUUUAAUUCGAUGAUACGCGAGGAACCUUACCAGGGCUUAAAU